UACGGAGGGUGCGAGCGUUGUCCGGAAUCAUUGGGCGUAAAGGGCGCGUAGGUGGCCCCUCAAGCGUGCGGUGAAAGUCAGGGGCUCAACCCCUGAUCGGCCGUGCGAACUGGGGAGCUUGAGCACUGUAGAGGCAGGCGGAAUUCCGGGUGUAGCGGUGGAAUGCGUAGAGAUCCGGAAGAACACCGGUGGCGAAGGCGGCCUGCUGGGCAGUAGCUGACGCUGAGGCGCGACAGCGUGGGGAGCAAACAGG
rnacentral:rRNA from 1 species